GACGUAGGGCGCGAGCGUUGUCCGGAUUUAUUGGGCGUAAGAGCUCGUAGGCGGCUUGUCGCGUCGUCCGUGAAAACUUGGGGCUCAACCCCAAGCUUGCGGUCGAUACGGGCAGGCUAGAGUUCGGUAGGGGAGACUGGAAUUCCUGGUGUAGCGGUGAAAUGCGCAGAUAUCAGGAGGAACACCGGUGGCGAAGGCGGGUCUCUGGGCCGAUACUGACGCUGAGGAGCGAAAGCGUGGGGAGCGAACAGG
rnacentral:rRNA from 1 species